GAUGAACGCUGGCGGCGUGCCUAAUACAUGCAAGUCGAGCGAACAGACGAGGAGCUUGCUCCUCUGACGUUAGCGGCGGACGGGUGAGUAACACGUGGAUAACCUACCUAUAAGACUGGGAUAACUUCGGGAAACCGGAUCUAAUACCGGAUAAUAUAUUGAACCGCAUGGUUCAAUAGUGAAAUACGGUUUUUCUGUCACUUAUAGAUGGAUCCGCGCCGCAUUAGCUAGUUGGUAAGGUAACGGCUUACCAAGGCAACGAUGCGUAGCCGACCUGAGAGGGUGAUCGGCCACACUGGAACUGAGACACGGUCCAGACUCCUACGGGAGGCAGCAGUAGGGAAUCUUCCGCAAUGGGCGAAAGCUUGACGGAGCAACGCCGCGCGAGUGACGAAGGUCUUCGGAUCGUAAAACUCUGUUAUUAGGGAAGAACAAAUGUGUAAGUAACUAUGCACGUCUUGACGGUACCUAAUCAGAAAGCAACGGCUAACUACGUG
rnacentral:rRNA from 1 species